GGACGGAAUGAUGAUUAUUUGUUUCCCUGUAAUUGGUUUAAGUGUUUGAUUGAUGGCAUUGUGUAUUAGCCCUAUCUGGCUAUUU